UUUGAGUUCCUUCAUCUACAUUUCUGCGGUUGGUGAGUCCUCAUGAUUCGAGGACCCGUGUCUCCAAUUUUGUCUUGUUAAUAGAUGGUUGUUUACUUUUAGUUCAAUACGAGUCAGUUGGGGAUCUAUCUCAAUGGCUCCUCAGUCCUAUGUAGUAGAGGCUUUGUUAGACUAGUGUACCAGCAUGUAUAGAGAUUUUAGUAUUUUGUUUGUACAGGGC
rnacentral:lncRNA from 1 species